rnacentral:rRNA from 1 species
UACGAAGGGGGCUAGCGUUGUUCGGAAUCACUGGGCGGAAAGGGCGCGUAGGCGGCCGAUCAAGUCGGGGGUGAAAGCCUGUGGCUCAACCACAGAAUUGCCUUCGAUACUGUUUGGCUUGAGACCGGAAGAGGUUAGUGGAACUGCGAGUGUAGAGGUGAAAUUCGUAGAUAUUCGCAAGAACACCAGUGGCGAAGGCGGCUGACUGGUCCGGUUCUGACGCUGAGGCGCGAAAGCGUGGGGAGCAAACAGG